rnacentral:rRNA from 1 species
CUUGGUCAUUUAGAGGAAGUAAAAGUCGUAACAAGGUUUCCGUAGGUGAACCUGCGGAAGGACCAUUAAUGGUGCUUGCAGAAAUGCUUGCACGGCGGCGGCCUUAAAACGCGCCAAAUGGCACCCUUUGUUUACGAGUACCGUUCGUUUCCUCGGUGGGCUUGCCUGCCAUGAGGACCAACAAAAACCUUUUGUAGUAGCAGUAUCUUCAGUAAAAACAAAUAUUAAAACUUUCAACAACGGAUCUCUUGGUUCUGGCAUCGAUGAAGAACGCAGCGAAAUGCGAUAAGUAGUGUGAAUUGCAGAAUUCAGUGAAUCAUCGAAUCUUUGAACGCACAUUGCGCCCUUCGGUAUUCCGUUGGGCAUGCCUGUUCGAGCGUCAUUUAAUCAUUCAAGCUCUGCUUGGUGUUGGGUGUUUGUUCCGCCUCAGCGCGUGGACUCGCCUUAAAUUCAUUGGCAGCCGGUAUGUUGGCUUCGUGCGCAGCACAUUGCGUCGCGAUUCUGGCAGGCCUCCUCCCAUUAAGCUUCUUUUAAGUUUGACCUCGGAUCAGGUAGGGAUACCCGCUGAACUUAAGCAUAUCAAUAAGCGGAGG